CCUACGGGUGGCAGCAGUGAGGAAUAUUGGUCAAUGGCCGGAAGGCUGAACCAGCCAUGCCGCGUGAAGGUCAGUGCCCUAUGGGCGUUAAACUUCUUUUGUGCGGGAGCAAUAAUGGUCACGUGUGGCCAGACGAUAGUACCGUACGAAUAAGCAUCGGCUAACUCCGUGCCAGCAGCCGCGGUAAUACGGGGGAUGCAAGCGUUAUCCGGAUUUAUUGGGGUUAAAAGGUGAGUAGGCUGUGAGGUAAGUCAGCGGUGAAAUGCCCCCGCGCAACGGGGUGAAGUGCCAUUGAUACUGCCUUGCUGGAAUGCGGAUGCGGUGGGAGGAAUGUGUGGUGUAGCGGUGAAAUGCAUAGAUAUCACACAGAACACCGAUUGCGAAGGCAUCUCACGAAUCUGCGAUUGACGUUGAUGCACGAAAGCGUGGGUAUCAAACAGGAUUAGAUACCCCUGUAGUC
rnacentral:rRNA from 1 species